AGGCCCAUAGCUCAGUGGCAAGGCAUCUGUUUCACAUGCAGAAGGUUCUAGGUUCAAUCUCUGGCAUUUUUAGCUUGGGCUGG